rnacentral:rRNA from 1 species
GAUGAACGCUGGCGGCGUGCUUAACACAUGCAAGUCGAACGAAGCAUUUAGGACAGUUUUCUUCGGUUUGAAGCUCUUUAUGACUGAGUGGCGGACGGGUGAGUAACGCGUGGGUAACCUGCCUUGUACUGGGGGAUAGCAGCUGGAAACGGCUGGUAAUACCGCAUAAGCGCACAAUGUUGCAUGACAUGGUGUGAAAAACUCCGGUGGUAUAAGAUGGACCCGCGUCUGAUUAGCUAGUUGGUGAGAUAACAGCCCACCAAGGCGACGAUCAGUAGCCGAGAUGAGAGAGUGAGCGGCGACACUGGGACUAAGACGCAGCCGAGACUCCUACGCGAGGGAGCAGUGGGGGAUAUAGCAAAAUGGAGGAAACUCUGAUGGAGCGACGACGCGUAAGUGAAGAUAUAAUUCGUUAUGUAAAGCUCAAUCAGCAGUGAAGAUAGUGACGGUACCUGACCAGGAAGCUACGGCUAAAUACGUG